UUCUUCCCUGGACAUACAACCUAAGGCAACCAUCGACGAAUUCAUUGACGAACUCACCACUACCAACGGCUAAUCGGAGAACUAAGUUACGAUUGGCGACUUCACUCCCACUGGCGACCUCGACACAAUCGCUAGCAAACUACAAAUUUAGGUGUUUAAUAGAUACAAUGGUGUGAUUGAUGGAGUCCAGUUCUCAUCACAUGACCCUGUAGGUGGCCUACUAGCUAGAUCUACCCAUUGAUCCAUCUGCUGGUAUUCGUUGUGCAGAGGUUUGUUUCUUGUUGAAGGUAAGGUGUAAGGGAAGUUCACAUUUGGAAACCAGCCAAACAGUGUUGGAGGAGAACAUAUGCUUGUGCCCGCAUUGGCUAAUAAUUAGUAUUGUCAAUUUGUUGAUGCUUGUCACAAUUAUGUAAACUUUUGAGCCUUAUUUUAUUUUGUUAUUUUUAUAUUUUUGAAGAUUACAAUUGAUGUAAAGUGGGAAAUAAUUUAUUGGGUGAUUGUAAGAAUUAGUUUGAAAUUAAAAAUUUGGUUAAAUGCUGAUUUUUUAUGCCGAAAAAUGGUCGUUUAUGCUAUUUUUUUUUUUAAUAAAAGUUAAUGAAAAGAGACCCGUUAGGUAUAAAAAGGGCUCUCUCGAGUAUAAUAAUAAAAAAUAGUAAAAUAUUCUAAGAGACCCUCUAUCUAACAUAUGGGGUCUGAAUUUGUUAAUUAUAAUAAUAUUAAAAAAUUCAAAGAGACCCUUUAUCUUACAUAUGGGGUCUGAGUUUGAUGGAAAAAAUAUUAUUUAAAAAUUCAAAGAGACCCCCUAGGUUAAAUAUUAGGUCUGAAUAUUUUUGCAAACAUACCCCAUAUCUCUAAUAAGGGGUCUCUUCUUCUUCUACAUUAUUUUUUACAUGGUUAACGUAACAUACCCCUUUUCUUAAAUAACGGGUCUCUUGUUUUUAACAAACAGACCCCCUCUAGAUGAGAGGUCUCUUUUAUAAAGAGACCCCCCUAUCUAGAGACCCCCUUAAAUGGGGUCUCUUAUGCCAUUUUGAACGGGUCUCUUUGCCUAUUUUUGUAGUAGUGUAUGAAAAAAACUUACCAAGACAGAAAAAGAUUUCUUCCUUUGUUCCAUCUCUUUUGGAUCAAGAAGCAUAUUAUCAAGGAAAUAGACACUUUUGUCUUUCAUACUAAGCACAAACAUAUAAUAAUGCUUCGGGUCUUCAAUCAGAACAGGAGCAAAAAUCUAUAUAAAAAAGAAAAACAACAUAUUACAACUACAAGAAAGAAGACAAAAAAAAGAAAAUAAUAUGGUUAUAUAAAUAAAAUAUAAAUCAUACCAUAUUACAAUCUUUCAAAGAUUGAACUCCAUUAACAUCUUUCACACCAUAAUUAAGACAAACACACAAUUCAGACAAGACUUUUGCAUCCUCUGGUUUCUCAAUCAAUUCAGCAACAUAUUUCUGCAAAUGAAUAUUAAAAGAAAAAUUAAACAACGGCCAAAAAAAUUUAAAAUAAUUAACAUUCUAUAUUAUUAAAAAUAUAACUUACACAAUAUGUG